UGGAGCAUGAGGAGGUUCCACUGGAGGUGAGGGGAGGUUCUGGAGGAGGAUUUGCCACCGUGGCACUGGGAAUGUGGAGGUUGAGGUUGUGGUUUGGGCUGCACUGUGGGGUGGAUGGUGCCAUGAGGCCCCUGAUGUGGGGCCACAUGGGUGCCCUGGAGAUGCUGUGAUGCCACAAGGUAGAAGAAGAAGAAGGAGCUUUUGUGGGGCUGGUGUGAGGUUCUGGGCCCCAAAUCUGGGGUUUGGUGGGGUUUGAUGGGCAUUUGAUGGGGUUUUGAUGUGCAUUUGGUGAAGUUUGAU